rnacentral:rRNA from 1 species
AUUGAACGCUGGCGGCAUGCCUUACACAUGCAAGUCGAACGGCAGCACGGGGCAACCUGGUGGCGAGUGGCGAACGGGUGAGUAAUGCAUCGGAACGUGCCAUUGAGUGGGGGAUAACGUAGCGAAAGUUGCGCUAAUACCGCAUAUUCUGUGAGCAGGAAAGCAGGGGACCGCAAGGCCUUGCGCUCUUUGAGCGGCCGAUGUCAGAUUAGCUAGUUGGUGAGGUAACGGCUUACUAAGGCGACGAUCUGUAGCGGGUCUGAGAGGAUGAUCCGCCACACUGGAACUGAGACACGGUCCAGACUCCUACGGGAGGCAGCAGUGGGGAAUUUUGGACAAUGGGCGCAAGCCUGAUCCAGCCAUGCCGCGUGAGUGAAGAAGGCCUUCGGGUUGUU